rnacentral:rRNA from 1 species
AACGAACGCUGGCGGCGUGCCUAACACAUGCAAGUCGAACGUGAUUAGAGAGCUUGCUCUCUAUGAAAGUGGCGCACGGGUGAGUAACGCGUAGAUAAUCUGCCCGACGAUCCGGGAUAACAGUUCGAAAGGACUGCUAAUACCGGAUAAGCCCACGUGGUCUUUGGACCGUGCGGGAAAAGGGGGGGACCUUCGGGCCUUCUGUCGUCGGAUGAGUCUGCGUACCAUUAGCUAGUUGGUAGGGUAAAGGCCUACCAAGGCGACGAUGGUUAGCUGGUCUGAGAGGAUGAUCAGCCACACUGGAACUGAGACACGGUCCAGACUCCUACGGGAGGCAGCAGUGGGGAAUUUUGCGCAAUGGGCGAAGGCCUGACGCAGCAACGCCGCGUGAGUGAUGAAGGCUUUCGGGUCGUAAAGCUCUGUCAGGGGGAAAGAAGUGUAUUGUGGCUAAUAUCCACGAUACUUGACGGUACCCCCAAAGGAAGCACCGGCUAACUCCGUGCCAGCAGCCGCCGUAACAC